GACGAACGCUGGCGGCGUGUCUAAUACAUGCAAGUAGAACGCUGAAGAGAGGAGCUUACUCUUCUUGGAUGAGUUGCGAACGGGUGAGUAACGCGUAGGUAACCUGCCUUGUAGCGGGGGAUAACUAUUGGAAACGAUAGCUAAUACCGCAUAACAAUGGAUGACACAUGUCAUUUAUUUGAAAGGGGCAAUUGCUCCACUACAAGAUGGACCUGCGUUGUAUUAGCUAGUAGGUGAGGUAAUGGCUCACCUAGGCGUCGAUACGUAGCCGACCUGAGAGGGGGAUCUGCCUCGCUGGGCCGGGAACACGGCCCGGACCCCUGCGAGUGGGAGACGUAGGGGACCUUCGGCGAAGGGGGCAGUGCUGACCGAGGGACGCCGCGUGAGUGACGAAGGCAUUCGGGUCGUGAAGGUCUGUAAUGAGUCAGGGUCGGGUGUGAGAGUGGAAAGUUCACAUUGUGACGGUAGCUUAACAGAAAGGGACGGCUAACUACGUG
rnacentral:rRNA from 1 species